UGCAGACAAAUGUUGGGUCUAUGAGGU
rnacentral:piRNA from 1 species